UUGUAGAUCCAUAACGUAUAAACCUUUUGCAGUACUGGUAAAGUCUGUGGAAGAACAUUGUACUAUACUUACCACACGUUUAAGAAUUACUGCCUACUGGAUUAUGUCAACUGUAUGGAAAGUCUGGCAAAUCGUUCACAUGGGGGAGUGUUUUAACGUGACCGAGCUGACCGAAUACUUACGUAAGUAUGACCUACUUUAACUCAAUAGGUUACCUCCUGUUUUUCACGUUAAACAUUAUUAUAAAAGUUACAUAAAAUAUUUAUUUCAUAUCGGCGUGCGUUUCUUACAAUUAUUUUACAUCAGACCAGCAGCUCUUAGACAUAAUUCCUAACACAGUAACGCGGAUUACUACAACUGUAUUAAUUUAUUGUAACUUUGUAAUCUUAUUAAAAAGUUAUAUGAUUUUAAAACAUAGUCAAUAUAAUAUAAUUUUCAGUGUACCCAUAUGAUGAUGACUACUUCCUAGACCAAUAUUAUAUAAUGGAAGAUCACUGAACAAAUGUUAUAAAUAAAUAAAAAUAUUUUAUAUUGUUAUACGUUU
rnacentral:misc_RNA from 1 species